GCUUUGUGGUUCAACUGAUUUGAAGAGCUUGCUCAGAUAUGACGAUGGACAUUGCAAAGAGUGGCGAACGGGUGAGUAACACGUGGGAAACCUACCUCUUAGCAGGGGAUAACAUUUGGAAACAGAUGCUAAUACCGUAUAACAAUGACAACCGCAUGGUUGUUAUUUAAAAGAUGGUUCUGCUAUCACUAAGAGAUGGUCCCGCGGUGCAUUAGCUAGUUGGUAAGGUAAUGGCUUACCAAGGCGAUGAUGCAUAGCCGAGUUGAGAGACUGAUCGGCCACAAUGGGACUGAGACACGGCCCAUACUCCUACGGGAGGCAGCAGUAGGGAAUCUUCCACAAUGGGCGAAAGCCUGAUGGAGCAACGCCGCGUGUGUGAUGAAGGGUUUCGGCUCGUAAAACACUGUUGUAAGAGAAGAAUGACAUUGAGAGUAACUGUUCAAUGUGUGACGGUAUCUUACCAGAAAGGAACGGCUAAAUACGUGCCAGCAGCCGCGGUAAUACGUAUGUUCCAAGCGUUAUCCGGAUUUAUUGGGCGUAAAGCGAGCGCAGACGGUUAUUUAAGUCUGAAGUGAAAGCCCUCAGCUCAACUGAGGAAUUGCUUUGGAAACUGGAUGACUUGAGUGCAGUAGAGGAAAGUGGAACUCCAUGUGUAGCGGUGAAAUGCGUAGAUAUAUGGAAGAACACCAGUGGCGAAGGCGGCUUUCUGGACUGUAACUGACGUUGAGGCUCGAAAGUGUGGGUAGCAAACAGGAUUAGAUACCCUGGUAGUCCACACCGUAAACGAUGAGUGCUAGGUGUUUGAGGGUUUCCGCCCUUAAGUGCCGCAGCUAACGCAUUAAGCACUCCGCCUGGGGAGUACGACCGCAAGGUUGAAACUCAAAGGAAUUGACGGGGACCCGCACAAGCGGUGGAGCAUGUGGUUUAAUUCGAAGCAACGCGAAGAACCUUACCAGGUCUUGACAUCCCUUGACAACUCCAGAGAUGGAGCGUUCCCUUCGGGGACAAGGUGACAGGUGGUGCAUGGUUGUCGUCAGCUCGUGUCGUGAGAUGUUGGGUUAAGUCCCGCAACGAGCGCAACCCUUAUUACUAGUUGCCAGCAUUCAGUUGGGCACUCUAGUGAGACUGCCGGUGACAAACCGGAGGAAGGUGGGGAUGACGUCAAAUCAUCAUGCCCCUUAUGACCUGGGCUACACACGUGCUACAAUGGCGUAUACAACGAGUUGCCAACCCGCGAGGGUGAGCUAAUCUCUUAAAGUACGUCUCAGUUCGGAUUGUAGGCUGCAACUCGCCUACAUGAAGUCGGAAUCGCUAGUAAUCGCGGAUCAGCACGCCGCGGUGAAUACGUUCCCGGGUCUUGUACACACCGCCCGUCACACCAUGAGAGUUUGUAACACCCAAAGCCGGUGGGGUAACCUUCGGGAGCCAGCCGUCUAAG
rnacentral:rRNA from 1 species